rnacentral:ncRNA from 2 species
CACCUGCGUGGCGUUGGGGUUCCGCCAGAACCGCACGCGGCCUGGCCGCUGCUGAUGACUCCUACGAAUCG